AUUAUUAAUGACUAAUGUUAAUAAUGUUUUUGUUUGUUUAGUCGGUAUGGGUAUUUAGUUUGAUUGAUUAUCAAAGCCCGACGUAUGGCAAUGGAGCUUAUCAGUAUCCAUGGUGGGCAGAAGCUGUUGGUUGGGGAAUAGCGUCCUUGUCACUGAUCUGCAUUCCAGCAUUUGCCGUCUACGUAUUAAUUAGAGCCGAGGGCGUUACUUUCACCGAGAAACUACGCAAUUCAAUUAGAUCACAUUUUGAGGCCUGCAAAGUAUGUCGUCAGGAAUACUGCGCAAAUCCGCUGCAUAAUUUAUCGGAUACCGAUAAGGAGCAAAUCAAACAACCACUCCAAGAAAUGAACAGUCUGAUAAAUAACGUACCCAUCACAAUAAUACCCGCAAAGUCUAAAACAUAAUAAUAACAAUAACAACAACACUACUAAUUAACUGUCAAUAGAUGAAAUUAAAUAAUAUUCAUAAAAA